rnacentral:misc_RNA from 1 species
GAAAUGCGAUAAGUAAUGUGAAUUGCAGAAUUCAGUGAAUCAUCGAAUCUUUGAACGCAUCUUGCGCUCCUUGGUAUUCCGAGGAGCAUGCCUGUUUGAGUGUCAUGGAAUUCUCAACUCUAUUUGCUUUUGUGAAUAGAGCUUGGAUUUGGAGGUUUAUUGCUGGUACUUGUGAUCGGCUCCUCUUGAAUGCAUUAGCUCGAACCUUUGCGGAUCAGCUAUCGGUGUGAUAAUUGUCUACGCCGUUGCAGUGAAGCAUAUCAAUGGGCUCGGCUUCCAAUCGUCCUUUACUGGACAAUGACUUUGACCUUUGACCUCAAAUCAGGUAGGAUUACCCGCUGAACUUAAGC